GACGAACGCUGGCGGCGUGCCUAAUACAUGCAAGUUGAGCGCUGAAGGUUGGUACUUGUCCCGACUGGAUGAGCAGCGAACGGGUGAGUAACGCGUGGGGAAUCUGCCUUUGAGCGGGGGACAACAUUUGGAAACGAAUGCUAAUACCGCAUAAAAACUUUAAACACAAGUUUUAAGUUUGAAAGAUGCAAUUGCAUCACUCAAAGAUGAUCCCGCGUUGUACUAGCUAGUUGGUGAGGUAAAGGCUCACCAAGGCGAUGAUACAUAGCCGACCUGAGAGGGUGAUCGGCCACAUUGGGACUGAGACACGGCCCAAACUCCUACGGGAGGCAGCAGUAGGGAAUCUUCGGCAAUGGACGAAAGUCUGACCGAGCAACGCCGCGGGAGUGAAGAAGGGUUUCGGAUCGUAAAACUCUGUUGGUAGAGAAGAACGUUGGUGAGAGUGGAAAGCUCAUCAAGUGACGGUAACUACCCAGAAAGGGACGGCUAACUACGUG
rnacentral:rRNA from 1 species